CGACUGGGUAGAGAACAAACCACAGGGGUGGGGGGUAAGGUAGCAGAGAGACCAGGUAGGAGGCCUUGGUGCAAAUCCCAGGAGAGCUGAUAGUGACUUGAAGCAGGGUUGCUGUAGAAGAAAGGGUGAAAGGGGAUUGCGUUUGUAUACAUUCUUGAUAGAUCCUCAUGUUAAUUCUGAGAGAUUGGAGGACAGACACUGGAUCAGAUGUGGGUACAAGCCCAGAGCUGAAAAGCUAGUGAUCAACUCAGGAGCCCCCACUUCCUGAUGCAGCAUCCGAUGCUCUUUCCAAUGCCCAGCCUGCCGUUGGCCCUCCCUCAGCCAUGCCCACCCUCUUCCCCAACUCA
rnacentral:lncRNA from 10 species